ACCAGGAGAACUUGGCUGGCUGGCUGACUGAAUGGGGAUGCUUGGUGUGGUGGCUGUUCUUGCCAGGACAAUAGCUGGCUGACAAAAUCAGGCUCAGGCCUUUCUGACUUGAGAGAAGCCUGCGUGGAGCUUUAUGUCGGUCCAGUGUUGGCCUCAGAUGACUUGGGUGGAUCAGACUUGCUGCCUGCACUUAUGAAGCCCAUGAUCUGCUACCAACUCGUGGGCUUGGAAGCCAUGCACCUGCAGCUGGAUCCCUCUGGGACUUGUGAAAUGUAGGUCCCAAGGCCUACUCCCUGGAAAUAUAAAUCUGGCCAGUUAUUAUUGUAGCUGACAGGAUUCACAGCUGAGUGUGAUCGAGAAUUGCUUUUCUACUCUGGUAGUACGCAUCAUCUUGAAAGCUAGCCAACAGGGAUGAAGCUUUCAGGAGCUCCAGGAUUAGGGAUGGGACAAAAGAUGUAAUUCUUCUCUCAGUACCACUGAAAGAAUCUGAUCAUCUGUUCCACCUUCCUGAACCAUUUCUACUGCACAAAUAAUGGCAAUUGACAACUACCUGCUGUUCCCAUUGGCCAAGGACCUCCAAUCACAAUCUUUUAAGCACUGAAUAAGCAAGCAUAUUUGAAGCUCCAGGCCUGGUGAGAUUGGAUACAUCGUUGUAGGCACCGGAAAUAGAGAAGUCCAGAGAGCCAGGGCCUGGACAAACUCACCUCUCUGUGUGGUGUUCCUUGGCUGGAAUUCAGGCUCCUCCCCCGCUGCCCUUGUACGUGUUUUCCUUUGGGAGAGAGCCUCUACAAGGAUGAGGGGCAGAUGUGGAGGGACUUGAAGAUGAGUGGAAUUGGUGUACAUGAUGUGUAAUUCCCAAACAAUCAAUAAAAAUUAUGUUAAUAAUAAAAAAAGAUGGAAAUGACAGUAGAGAAAGAAGAAAUAACACUGAUCCUUCAUAGACCUUGCAGAAUGUUCAAGAUGGGGGAAUAUUUUCCAGCACAUUCUCUAUGAGAAUAAUAUUCUACCUGUAAAGCCAGGCUGAGCCAUCACAAGGACCCCCACAGUUCAACAUAUGAAAAAUUCCUCAAGAAAAUAUUAAGAAUUCAAAUCCAGCAAAAACAUGCAAAACACGUGACAUUAUUUUUUGUGUGUACAUGUUUGUUUUGAAGCAUGUUUUCACUAUGUAAGUCUGGUCUGGAAAUCACUGUGUAGCCUUAUCCUGGCUCAAACUCACAGUCCUCCUGCCUCCAAGUGCUGGAAUUUCACUUGCAUAUUAGCAUGCCUGGCAGAUUAGGCAACACUUCCAAGUAAGAUUCCUCUCAGAUAUGUACAACAUUCAAAUUUCAGUUAACAUAAUGUAGCAUGUUAGUGUAAUCAAGAACAAAGAUUGUUUGAUCAUUUUGGCAUUUCACAAUAUCCAAGACACAAUUGUGAUUAAAAAACAGUCAACAGGAGGCUUGUCCCUGAAUAAAAAUGAUUUUCCCUCUGGAAUUGGGGGAGGGAGGAUUAAAUACAAUACUCGAGUAUGAAAUUCUCAAAACCCAAAACAUGGUCAACAGGCCAAGAUUAGUGGCACAUGCCUCUAAUCCAAGCACUUGGCAAGCAGAGAUGGGUGGAUCUCUGAGUUCCAGGCCAGGCUGAUCUGCAUAACGAGGCCCUGUGUCAAAAGACAAAAUGAAAUAUAGUCAACAACUUCAGAGUAGCAGAGAAGGCCUCCAACUUGUAAAGCACAUAGUGUGCAUUGUGGUGAAGGAAGACGUGCUUUUUUCCAUUAGAUUGAGGCCAAGACAGAUAUCUUUACACUUAGAUGUAUUAUGGAUCAUCUCCCCCAAAAUGCAUGUUGAAUUUUAAUCUGCAUAUGAGAGAUUAAGAAAUGGGGCUAGGAGUGGUACUUACGAAUUGAUUGUGUUCUUCCCUUGUGAUCGAGUUAGGAUUUCAUGCAAUUAUUGAAGGAAUGGGAGCCGGGGAUAUAACUCAGUGAAUAAUAAGUUGUUUAGCAUGUGCAAGGCCUUGGGUUCAAUUUCCAAUACUGAAAAGGAAGGAGGAAUAACAGAG